rnacentral:rRNA from 1 species
GACAGAGGUGCCGAGCGUUAGGCGGAAUCACUGGGCUUAAAGCGUGUGUAGGCGGGCCGUUAAGUGUCUUGUGAAAUCCCCCGGCUCAACCGGGGAAUUGCUGGGCAUACUGGCGGUCUUGAGCGAUCUAGGGGCAGAUGGAACAAGUGGUGGAGCGGUGAAAUGCGUAGAUAUCACGUGGAACGCCAAAGGUGAAGGCAGCUCGCUGGGGGUGUCCUGACGCUGAGGCGCGAAAGCCAGGGGAGCGAACGGG